rnacentral:rRNA from 1 species
UGGGGAAUAUUGCACAAUGGGCGCAAGCCUGAUGCAGCCAUGCCGCGUGUGUGAAGAAGGCCUUCGGGUUGUAAAGCACUUUCAGCGAGGAGGAAGGUGGUGAGCUUAAUACGCUCAUCAAUUGACGUUACUCGCAGAAGAAGCACCGGCUAACUCCGUGCCAGCAGCCGCGGUAAUACGGAGGGUGCAAGCGUUAAUCGGAAUUACUGGGCGUAAAGCGCACGCAGGCGGUUUGUUAAGUCAGAUGUGAAAAUCCCCGGGCUCAACCUGGGAACUGCAUUUGAAACUGGCAAGCUAGAGUCUCGUAGAGGGGGGUAGAAUUCCAGGUGGUAGCGGUGAAAUGCGUAGAGAUCUGGAGGAAUACCGGUGGCGAAGGCGGCCCCCUGGACGAAGACUGACCGCUCAGGUGCGAAAGCGUGGGGAGCAAACAGGAUUAGGAUAACCCUGGUAGU